CGCUGCGCAGGGACCCCGGCGGCCUCCAAGGCUGGUGCUGCACUCCUCUUCCCCCCGACAGGAGGGGAAACUGAGGCCCGGGGCGGGCGCGGAGAGCCGGCGGAGGUCAGCCCCGGUUCCAGGCCCCGCCGCUGGCUCCGGGGCGGGCCUCUGGGAGGCGGGUCCUGGAGGAAGGGGCUCCCGGGACGGUCCCGCUGAGCGCGGGCGGCGGGUGCGCAGCCGAGGCCGACCGCGGCCGGGGAUGCGCACGCGCACGCGCCCCUCCGCCCCCAGCCGUCGGUCGGCUGCCUACCAGAUGAGCCCACUGUGUGCAGAAGAGUCAUGGGAGUUGUAUCAGGAACAUUCUAGACCCCAGUGUCCUUGAGUUUGGAAAAGAUGAGAUCACAUUGGAACCCAAACACCUGUUGUGACCACCUGCCCUGUGGCGUCGUCCUUACUCUAGGAGGGCUGCCUUGGAUCUGGAAAUUGUUGGAGGAAUCCUGAGGGGAUGGAGGCACUGGUGCUCUCGGAUUGACCUUGGUCCCAGCUGUCCUUCAGGGACCUCAUCAUGAUUGUCGUUUGGGUGGAUCAUGGACAUUGGAGUAGCAUAAUGAAGAAAGCUGUUGCCAUGUGAAUGUUGCCAGACCUUCUCACCAUGUUGCCUCAGCAAAGCAUGGAAGGGUUUUUCUCUCUGUGUAAGCAGGCCAGAGGGAAAGCCCUGGGACCCUGGAAGUUUGAGGUGUGGAGCCAGAGAUUUGAGCUGGCUCUGCCGUUCCCCCCUGCAGGAGUCAGAAUGCCAUGGACCAGGAAGACUGGUUUGCUUCGACCUGGGACAGGUUGUCCAGCAGCAUCCAUGUCUCCCCGCCUUCUCUUCCUCUGACUUUUCAAGAGUUUUCAGCACUGUGCAUCCUUGUCCUCUCACCUGCCUAAUAAAUCUUGAAACUACCCUGAA